rnacentral:rRNA from 1 species
UCGGGAAUUUUGGGCAACGGGCGAAAGCCUGACCCAGCAACGCCGCGUGAGGGAUGAAGUAUUUCGGUAUGUAAACCUCGAAAGAAUGGGAAGAAUAAAUGACGGUACCAUUUAUAAGCUCCGGCUAACUACGUGCCAGCAGCCGCGGUAAUACGUAGGGAGCAAGCGUUGUUCGGAUUUACUGGGCGUAAAGGGCGCGUAGGCGGCGCGGUAAGUCACUUGUGAAAUCUCUGAGCUUAACUCAGAACGGCCAAGUGAUACUGCUGUGCUAGAGUGCGGAAGAGGCAACCGGAAUUCUUGGUGUAGCGGUGAAAUGCGUAGAUAUCAAGAGGAACACCUGAGGCGAAGGCGGGUUGCUGGGCCGACACUGACGCUGAUGCGCGAAAGCCAGGGGAGCAAACG